UGGGGAAUAUUGCACAAUGGAGGGAACUCUGAUGCAGCGACGCCGCAUGAGUGAUGAAGGAAUUCGUUUCGUAAAACUCUGUUCUAUGGGAAGAAAAGGACUGUACCAUAGGAGAAAGCUCCGGCUAAAUACGUGCCAGCAGCCGCGGUAAUACGUAUGGAGCGAGCGUUGUCCGGAAUUAUUGGGCGUAAAGGGUGCGCAGGCGGCUUUACAAGUUGGAUGUGAAAUAUUGUGGCUCAACCACAAACGUGCAUCCAAAACUGCAAAGCUUGAGUUAAGGAGAGGUAAGUGGAAUUCCUGGUGUAGCGGUGGAAUGCGUAGAUAUCAGGAGGAAUACCGGUGGCGAAGGCGACUUACUGGACUUAAACUGACGCUCAGGCACGAAAGCGUGGGGAGCAAACAGG
rnacentral:rRNA from 1 species